rnacentral:rRNA from 1 species
UACGUAGGGUGCAAGCGUUGUCCGGAAUCAUUGGGCGUAAAGCGCGCGUAGGUGGCUUCGUAAGUCCGUUGUGAAAGUCAAAGGCUCAACCUUUGAAUGCCGAUGGAUACUGCGAAGCUAGAGUACGGAAGAGGCGAGUGGAAUUCCUGGUGUAGCGGUGGAAUGCGCAGAUAUCAGGAGGAACACCAAUAGCGAAGGCAGCUCGCUGGGACGUUACUGACA